rnacentral:rRNA from 1 species
AACGAACGCUGGCGGCAGGCCUAACACAUGCAAGUCGAACGCCCUAGCAAUAGGGAGUGGCAGACGGGUGAGUAACACGUGGGAACCUUCCCAAUAGUACGGAAUAGCCCAGGGAAACUUGGAGUAAUACCGUAUACGCCCGAAAGGGGAAAGAUUUAUCGCUAUUGGAUGGGCCCGCGUCGGAUUAGCUAGUUGGUGAGGUAACGGCUCACCAAGGCGACGAUCCGUAGCUGGUUUGAAAGAACGACCAGCCACACUGGGACUGAGACACGGCCCAGACUCCUACGGGAGGCAGCAGUGGGGAAUCUUGGACAAUGGGCGCAAGCCUGAUCCAGCCAUGCCGCGUGAGUGACGAAGGUCUUCGGAUUGUAAAGCUCUUUUGGCGGGGACGAUAAUGACGGUACCCGCAGAAUAAGCCCCGGCUAACUUCGUGCCAGCCGCCGCGGUAACAC